rnacentral:rRNA from 1 species
GACGUAGGGCGCGAGCGUUGUCCGGAUUUAUUGGGCGUAAAGAGCUCGUAGGCGGCUUGUUGCGUCGACUGUGAAAACCCGCGGCUUAACUGCGGGCUUGCAGUUGAUACGGGCAGGCUAGAGUUCGGUAGGGGAGACUGGAAUUCCUGGUGUAGCGGUGAAAUGCGCAGAUAUCAGGAGGAACACCGGUGGCGAAGGCGGCUUUCUGGGCCUUACCUGACGCUGAGGAGCGAAAGCUGGGGGAGCAAACAGG